rnacentral:rRNA from 1 species
GUCAAAAAAAAGAAGGCUCACGACGGAGACCUAGGCUCUCAGAGACGAUGAAAGGCGCGAUACCGGCGAUAUGCUUUGGGGAGUAGGAAGAAUGCAUUGAUCCAAAGAUUCCUGAAUAGGGCAACCUGUCCGACUAUCUAUGAAUUCAUAAAUAGAUUAGAGGCAACCUGGUGAACUGAAACAUCUCAGUAGCCAGAGGAAAAGAAAGCAAAAGCGAUUCCCGUAGUAGCGGCGAGCGAACUGGGACCAGCCUAAACCAAUUUUAUUGGGGUUGUGGGAAGACAAAAAAACUUGUAAACAAAGUUUACUUCGCUCUUCGGCUUCUUCGCUUCGCGAAAGAAGCCGACGCGCUUGCGCUUUGGCUUCGGCAGAGCCGAGCCAAACCGAAGCGUUCGCUUCUUUCGCGGAGCGAAGGGAGCCGAUGCGAAGCAAAAGAAAGAGAAAAAAAAGACGAAGCAGCUGAAUCCUGCACCAUAGAUGGUGAAAGUCCAGUAGUCAUAUUCAAUUUCUCCAUUCAAUAUUUUAAUUUAAUGUCUAUCCCGAGUAGCAUGGGGCACGUGGAAUCCCGUGUGAAUCUGCGAGGACCACCUCGUAAGGCUAAACACUCCUGAGAGACCGAUAGCGAAAUAGUACAGCGAUGGAACGGUGAAAAGAACCCCCGUCGGGGAGUGAAAUAGAACAUGAAAUCGUGAGCUGACAAGCAGUGGGAGGAUUUUAAAAAUCUGACCUCGUGCCUGUUGAAGAAUGAGCCGGCGACUUAUAGGAAGUGGCAGGUUAAAGAGUAAGAUCUGGAGCCUAAGCGAAAGCGAGUCUUAAUAGGGCGAAAGUCACUUCUUAUGGACCCGAACCUGGAUGAUCUAACCAUGAGCAAGCUGAAGCUUAGGUAACACUUAGUGGAGGGCUGCACGGACCGGUGUUGAAAAAUCGGCCGAUGACUUGUGGUUAGCGGAGAAAUUCCAAUCGAAUUCAGAGCUAGCUGGUUCUCCCCGAAAUGCGUUGAGGCGCAGCGGCAAUGAUGGGCAGUCUAAGGGUAGAGCGACUGUUUCGGUGCGGGCUGCGAAAGCGGUACCAAGUCGUGGCAAACUCCGAAUAUUAGAUUUGCUUUCCAUAUGCCAGUGAGACAGUGGGAGAUAAGUUUCAUUGUCAAGAGGGAAACAGCCCAGAUCAUCAGCUAAGGCCCCUAAAUGACAUCUAAGUGGAAAAGGAUGUGAGAAUGCUGAAACAACCAGGAAGUUUGCUUAGAAGCAGCAAUUUUUUAAAGAGUGCGUAAUAGCUCACUGGUAAAGCGUUUUUGCGCCGACAAUGGCCGGGACUAAGGAGUCUGCCGAAGCUGUGAGAUUUUUUUUUUAUAAAAAUCGGUAGGGGAGCGUUCAGCAUUGGGUGAAGCUUCAAUGUAAGUUUGAGUGGACGGUGCUGAAGUGAGAAUGUCGGCUUGAGUAACGAAAACAUUGGUGAGAAUCCAAUGCCCCGAAAACCUAAGGGUUCCUUUACAAGGUUCGUCCAUGAAGGGUGAGUCAGGACCUAAGGCGAGGCCGACAGGCGUAGUCGAUGGCAAACAGGUUGAUAUUCCUGUACUUUUUUGAAAGGGAACCGAGGGACGAAGAAGGCUAAAUUGAGUCUGUGAAUGGAAUGCAGUGGAAAUGUUCGAGGUUAAACAGAUCGAAGAAAAACGAAUCUGUAGCUAAGGCAUGAUCCCACUCUCCUGAACUUGUUUGGGCAGAGUGUCAAUGAUGUCAUACUUCCAAGAAAAGCUCGUACACCAUCUUAUUGCUUCGCUUGCGAAGUGUAAGUUUAAACUUUCAAAAAACCUGUACCUGAAACCGACACAGGUAGGUUGGUAGAGAAUACUAAGGGGCGCAAGAGAACUCUCUCUAAGGAACUCGGCAAAUUGGCCCCGUAACUUCGGGAGAAGGGGCGCCUCUGACUUAGUCAGGGGCCACAGUAUAAAGAUUCAGGCAACUGUUUACCAAAAACACAGGUCUCCGCAAAGUCGUAAGACAAUAUAUGGGGGCUGACGCCUGCCCAGUGCCGGAAGGUGAAGGAAGUUGGUUAUUCAAGCCUUGUGCUUGGAGAAGCUGACAACCGAAGCCCCGGUGAACGGCAGCUGUAACUAUGACAGUUCUAAGGUAGCGAAAUUCAUUGUCGAGUAAGUUUCGACCUGCACGAAAGGCGUAAUGAUCUGAAUACUGUCUCAGAGAGAGACUUGGUGAAAUAGACUUAUCCGUGAAGAUGCGGAUUAACAACAUUUGGACAGAAAGACCCUAUGAAGCUUGACUGUAUCCUGGAAUUGGGUUCGGGCUUUUCUUGCGCAGUCUAGGUGGGAGGCAUUGAAGAUUUCUUUCCGGAGAGAUUGGAGCCAUCAGUGAGAGACCACUCUGGAAAGGCUAGAAUCCUAAGAGUGAUCCCUAAUCGGGACAUUUGACGUUUUCAGGAGGGCAGUUUUUUUGGGGCGAAAGUCCUCCUAAAAGGUAACGGAGGCGCGCAAAGGUUUCCUCAGUCUGGACGGAAAUCAGACGUUACAGAGUGUAAAGGCAAAAGGAAGCUUGACUGCAAGACCUACAAGUCGAGCAGGGGCGAAAGCCGGCCUUAGUGAUCCGACGGUGUCCGUGUGGAAGGGCCGUCGCUCAACGGAUAAAAGUUACUCUAGGGAUAACAGGCUGAUCUUCUCCAAGAGUUCACAUCGACGAGAAGGUUUGGCACCUCGAUGUCGGCUCAUCACAUCCUGGGGCUGUAGUAGGUCCCAAGGGUUGGGCUGUUCGCCCAUUAAAGUGGUACGUGAGCUGGGUUCAAAACGUUUCGGUCGGUGCUUCGGCUUCGCCGACGCGCGACCGAAGCGAAAGGAGCCGAAGCGAAGGCUCUUCACUCCUUCGGUUCUUCGCCGAAGGCGAUGGAGCGAAGAGCCGAGGAACCGAAGCGAAGCAAGCACUCGUUUCUUAAAGCGUAAGACAGUUUGGUCCAUAUCCGAUGUUGUCGUUAGAGCGCUGAGGGGAUCCUUAAAUAGUACGAGAGGAUUUUUAAGGUCGUGCCUAUGGUGUAUCAGUUCUCUCUCCAGAGGGAAACGCUGAGUAGCUACGCACGGUUUAGAUAACCGCUGAAAGCAUCUAAGUGGGAAGCUUUCCUCAAGAUGAGCGCUCUCCAUUAUGCCACAGCUAGACAAGCUGAUGAUAGGUAUCAGGUGAAAGGUCUGCAAGGAUUUGAGCCGAGAUAUACUAAAGGCCAAUUGAUUUUGACCA